rnacentral:rRNA from 1 species
ACAGUCACACAUUAGAUACCCGGGUAGUCCCAGCCGUAAACUAUGCUCGCUAGGUGUCAGGCAUGGCGCGACCGUGUCUGGUGCCGCAGGGAAGCCGUGAAGCGAGCCACCUGGGAAGUACGGCCGCAAGGCUGAAACUUAAAGGAAUUGGCGGGGGAGCACAACAACGGGUGGAGCCUGCGGUUUAAUUGGACUCAACGCCGGACAACUCACCGGGGACGACAGCAAUAUGUAGGCCAGGCUGAAGACCUUGCCUGAAUCGCUG